UCCUUGGUAGCUCAGUGGUAGAGCAGUUGGCUGUUAACCAAUUGGUCGGGGGUUCGAAUCCCUCCCAAGGAGCCA
rnacentral:tRNA from 1 species